rnacentral:rRNA from 1 species
ACCAUCCGGCUCUUAUUGUGCGUUCGAGCGGACAGAUUGGAGCUUGCUCCCUGCUGUUCCGGCGGACGGGUGAGUAACACGUGGGUAACCUGCCUGUAAGACUGGGAUAACUCCGGGAAACCGGGGCUAAUACCGGAUGGUUGUUUGAACCGCAUGGUUCAAACAUAAAAGGUGGCUUCGGCUACCACUUACAGAUGGACCCGCGGCGCAUUAUCUAGUUGGUGAGGUAACGGCUCACCAAGGCAACGAUGCGUAGCCGACCUGAGAGGGGUUCGGCCAAACUGGGACUGAGACACGGCCCACACUACUACGGGAGGCAGCAGUAGGGAAUCUUCCGCAAUGGACGAAAGUCUGACGGAGCAACGCCGCGUGAGUGAUGAAGGUUUUCGGAUCGUAAAGCUCUGUUGUUAGGGAAGAACAAGUACCGUUCGAAUAGGGCGGUACCUUGACGGUACCUAACCAGAAAGCCACGGCUAACUACGUGCCAGCAGCCGCGGUAAUACGUAGGUGGCAAGCGUUGUCCGGAAUUAUUGGGCGUAAAGGGCUCGCAGGCGGUUUCUUAAGUCUGAUGUGAAAGCCCCCGGCUCAACCGGGGAGGGUCAUUGGAAACUGGGGAACUUGAGUGCAGAAGAGGAGAGUGGAAUUCCACGUGUAGCGGUGAAAUGCGUAGAGAUGUGGAGGAACACCAGUGGCGAAGGCGACUCUCUGGUCUGUAACUGACGCUGAGGAGCGAAAGCGUGGGGAGCGAACAGGAUUAGAUACCCUGGUAGUCCACGCCGUAAACGAUGAGUGCUAAGUGUUAUGGGGUUUCCGCCCCUUAGUGCUGCAGCUAACGCAUUAAGCACUCCGCCUGGGGAGUACGGUCGCAAGACUGAAACUCAAGGAAUUGACGGGGGCCCGCACAAGCGGUGGAGCAUGUGGUUUAAUUCGAAGCAACGCGAAGAACCUUACCAGGUCUUGACAUCCUCUGACAAUCCUAGAGAUAGGACGUCCCCUUCGG